UACGGAGGGGGCUAGCGUUGUUCGGAAUUACUGGGCGUAAAGCGCGCGUAGGCGGACCUGCAAGUCGGGGGUGAAAGCCCGAGGCUCAACCUCGGAACUGCCUUCGAUACUGCGGGUCUCGAGUCCGGGAGAGGUGAGUGGAAUUCCUAGUGUAGAGGUGAAAUUCGUAGAUAUUAGGAGGAACACCGAUUGCGAAGGCAGCUCGCUGGAACGUUACUGACGCUGAGACGCGAAAGCGUGGGGAGCAAACAGG
rnacentral:rRNA from 1 species